AAAGCCUACAAGGGAAUGAGUCCGUUUCCAGCUGGGCGGCCGGACAGGGUAUUCCCCACCCCCUUAGGCUCCGCCCCCUGCCCGUCUGGCCGGACCGGGCAAGUCCCCACUUUGCAGGCUGCGAGGCCCGGCCCUCGGAUGACGUUACAGCCGACGAGGUAGAGGCGGGGCGCGGGAGGAAGGCGGUGUUGGGAAGCCAGCCCAGACUCUGCUGGGACGCAUGCGCCAGACACGAAGCGCGCAGAGCCUGUUGUCCUGCUCGCCGAGUGUCCUGCAAGGCCUUAACUAAGGUACGUAGUUGGAUGGGAUGUCCUGUGAGAAGGCAUGCAGAUAACAGAAAUGCGAGGCAAAAGAGCAAGAAAGAGGUAAGAGUAGAAGUGAAAUUUCAUCGUACUUAGGGUAGCUGUAACUAACAUGUGCCAUAACGUUUUAGUUUUUGUUCUUUUCUUUAGUUGGGACUGAGAUUUCACAUUUGAUUAUUUCAUGUAAAUUAGAGUGUGAUGGUGGCAGAUUGAAAAACUUUUUAAUCAAAUAUAUUUAUUAA